rnacentral:rRNA from 1 species
UACAGAGGGUGCGAGCGUUAAUCGGAAUUACUGGGCGUAAAGCGCACGUAGGCGGCUUGGUAUGUCGGGUGUGAAAUCCCCGGGCUCAACCUGGGAACUGCAUCCGAAACUGCCUUGCUAGAGUAUGGGAGAGGGAAGUGGAAUUUCCGGUGUAGCGGUGAAAUGCGUAGAUAUCAGGAGGAACACCGGUGGCGAAGGCGGAUCUCUGGGCCAUUACUGACGCUGAGGAGCGAAAGCGUGGGGAGCGAACAGG